rnacentral:rRNA from 1 species
GACGAACGCUGGCGGCGUGCCUAAUACAUGCAAGUAGAACGCUGAAGGAGGAGCUUGCUUCUCUGGAUGAGUUGCGAACGGGUGAGUAACGCGUAGGUAACCUGCCUGGUAGCGGGGGAUAACUAUUGGAAACGAUAGCUAAUACCGCAUAAUAGUAGAUGUUGCAUGACAUUUGCCUAAAAGGUGCAAUUGCAUCACUACCAGAUGGACCUGCGUUGUAUUAGCUAGUUGGUGGGGUAACGGCUCACCAAGGCGACGAUACAUAGCCGACCUGAGAGGGUGAUCGGCCACACUGGGACUGAGACACGGCCCAGACUCCUACGGGAGGCGGCAGUAGGGAAUCUUCGGCAAUGGACGGAAGUCUGACCGAGCAACGCCGCGUGAGUGAAGAAGGUUUUCGGAUCGUAAAGCUCUGUUGUAAGAGAAGAACGAGUGUGAGAGUGGAAAGUUCACACUGUGACGGUAUCUUACCAGAAAGGGACGGCUAACUACGUG